rnacentral:lncRNA from 1 species
AAGCAUAUAAAUUAUCCCCAGACAAUAAAACAUUGGGAUAACACAGUAGGAUUAAAUUUCAAGCCUUUAAAACAUUCACUCACAUAUACAUUGCAAACCAAUGCACCUAUAUAUACAAGGUGAACUAUUAAGUCAAAUUAAACUUAAGCUAGUGUAAAAAUAAGGUCUACAAACAAGAGUGGGGUUCUACAAACUACGAGUCCUUGUCCUCCUCUCCAUCAUCCUCUACACUUCAACUGGAGCCUUCAGCAGACUGCACUAGAUUUUUGAGAUCUUCAAAAUCUAAGUCUACUGCAUCCAAGGACCUGAAAUGGUUAUUCAAUAACCAAUGAGACAACGUCUCAGCAAGUCUACCCCCUAAUACCCGAUUAGUAAAUCAAUACACCGUCUAGGUUGCCUAUGCACAACACAAGUCAGAAGACUUACCUUGGUCUCAGUUCCAACCUACAAUUUAAGGUUAAACACAAAUAUUCAAACAAUUGACAACAUACGAUCAAACAUUGAUCAAUCGACUUAGUCGAUUACAUGUCAUUCAAACCACCACUAGGUCAUUCCCACUCACACCAUAAUUCCCUAAUGGUAUACUCCUUCACCAAAUCACAUAUGUUUCUCGGGCGUCGCUUUUGCCAAUGACAUACCGAUCACCGACACCGUGUGUUCUUUAAAGUGCCGUUUUCACCAGUGAUAUCAUCAAUUGCCAAACCACGUGUCCUUUCUAGGACGUCGUUUUCACCAAGGUGACAUCGGCAAUAGACAACAUCGUGAGAUCUUUAAGGUGUCAUUUUCACCAUUGAUAUUUCCUUAAACAUUGAAGCACGUUUGUCUAUAAGUUAUUCACGUGCGUUCUUUAAGGUGCCGUUUUCGCCAGUGAUACUUCCAAUCACCGAACCACGUAUGUCCAAUAAUAUCAUACUUGAUUGGUCUCAGCCAAUAAAAUUCUCAGUUAGCUCUCACAAUUCUCUCUACUAUAUAGCCCAUCAACAUAACUAGCACUAUAUAACCAUACUCGGCCAACUACCAAUCAAAUAUUCAAUAACAAACAAUUUAGGACAAUUCCUAAAAUUCCACAAUUAAUUCAAUUCCACACAAUGUAGAACUCAAAUAAAUAAACAGACUGCAUCACGACAAUCAACAUAAAAUUUCGGUCGUCGGCUAUCCCUGCCUAAUUAUCGAAAAAUAAUUAAUUAAUUUUGAAAAUUAAUAAAUAAAUACUAAAAAUCCAAUUUAGGCCCGUAAUACCUAAUUGAAGCCCGCGAAGGGUCGGGAAAAAUCCCUAGAUGUAUUCAAUAAAUAAUAUAUGCAAUUCUUUAGUUAAGUACACUAACCACCUAACUAAUAUGCAAUGCAAUUAACUAAUAAUCACUAAUCCACUCUAAUCUAACCACCUAAUUGUACUUAAUUAACACUAAUCAAUCCUUAAGUGUCAUUAGCAAACUAAGAAAGCAUUAGUGAGCAAAAAUCACUUGAUUAACGAGCCGAUCGGACCAAAUCGACGAGCAUGCGACAAGGGUCAAUCCUGUCCAAAGCGGGUCUGCCAACCGGGGUCAAACCAGGGUCGAAAUCGGCCUACAAGCUCG